rnacentral:rRNA from 1 species
GACGAACGCUGGCGGCGUGCCUAAUACAUGCAAGUAGAACGCAGUUGCGAACGGGUGAGUCACGCGUAGGUAACCGGCCUCAUAGCGGGGGAUCACUAUAGGGAACGAUAUCUAAUACCGCACACUGUGAGCGGGACCUGCGUUGUAUUAGCUAGUUGGUGAGGUAAAGGCUCACCAAGGCGACGAUACAUAGCCGACCUGAGAGGGUGAUCGGCCACACUGGGACUGAGACACGGCCCAGACUCCUACGGGAGGCAGCAGGAGGGAAUAUUCGGCAAUGGACGAAAGUCUGACCGAGCAACGCCGCGUGAGUGAAGAAGGUUUUCGGAUCGUAAAACUCUGUUGUUAGAGAAGCGGUAUCUAACCAGAAAGCCCCGGCUAACUACGUGCCAGCCGCCGCGGUAAUUC